CAGACGGCUCAGUAACACGUAGUCAACCUAACUCGUGGACGUGGAUAAUCUCGGGAAACUGAGGAUAAACCACGAUAGAUAACGGUGCCUGGAAUGGCCCAUUGUCCAAACAGUUUACUGCCACGGGAUGGGACUGCGGCCUAUCAGCUUGUUGGUGAGGUAAUGGCCCACCAAGGCUAUAACAGGUACGGGCUCUGAGAGGAGAAGCCCGGAGAUGGGUACUGAGACACGGACCCAGGCCCUAUGGGGCGCAGCAGGCGAGAAACCUUAGCAAUGUGCGAAAGCACGACUGGGUCAGUCCGAGUGAUUUCUGAUAAAGGAAUCUUUUGCCCGUCCUAAAAGCACGGGCGAAUAAGGGGUGGGCAAGUCUGGUGUCAGCCGCCGCGGUAAUACCAGCACCUCGAGUGGUCAGGACGAUUAUUGGGCCUAAAGCAUCCGUAGCUGGUUUUGCAAGUCUCCGGUUAAAUCCACCUGCUUAACAGAUGGGCCGCUGGAGAUACUACAAGACUAGGGAGUGGGAGAGGCAGACGGUAUUCGGGGGGUAGGGGGUAAAAUCCUCUGAUCCUUUGAGGACCACCAGUGGCGAAGGCGGUCUGCCAGAACACGUUCGACAGUGAGGGAUGAAAGCUGGGGGAGCAAACC
rnacentral:rRNA from 1 species